rnacentral:rRNA from 1 species
CCUACGGGCGGCAGCAGUGGGGAAUAUUGGACAAUGGGCGAAAGCCUGAUCCAGCCAUGCCGCGUGUGUGAAGAAGGCCUUCGGGUUGUAAAGCACUUUCAGUGGGGAAGAAAGCCUUGGGGCUAAUACCCUCGAGGAAGGACAUCACCCACAGAAGAAGCACCGGCUAACUCCGUGCCGGCAGCCGCGGUAAUACGGAGGGUGCGAGCGUUAAUCGGAAUUACUGGGCGUAAAGCGCGCGUAGGCGGUCUGAUAAGCCGGUUGUGAAAGCCCCGGGCUCAACCUGGGAACGGCAUCCGGAACUGUCAGGCUAGAGUGCAGGAGAGGAAGGUAGAAUUCCCGGUGUAGCGGUGAAAUGCGUAGAGAUCGGGAGGAAUACCAGUGGCGAAGGCGGCCUUCUGGACUGACACUGACGCUGAGGUGCGAAAGCGUGGGUAGCAAACAGGAUUAGAUACCCCGGUAGUC